GGUCAGCUGACACAUCCCUGCCAAUCUCCGGCAGACCCUCCCUCCCAGACCCUCCCACCUCCUGGACAGCAUCCAUGUUGAAGCUGCCUUCAACAUGGAUGCUGUCUAGGAAGUAGGAGGGUCUGGGAGGGAGGGUCUGCCGGAGAUUGGCAGGGAUGUGUCAGCUG